UAAUUAAGGGAAGGAAGAGACGUCGCUUAUGGAACACGCGUCAAAGUCUCCUCUUCUCUCUCUCGCUCAUCUCUCCUCUCUUUCUUUGCCGGUGUGAAGUCUAAAGAAGAAGACCGGUUCACGAAUCUUGAUCCUUCGACCUCUAGAGCGAUUGAUGCCAAGACCUCUGAGUUUGCAUCUGGGCUUCUUGGCUUGAGCUCUCUUUCUCUGGGUUACAUCAACUGAGUUUUUUCAUAAAACUGUUGCUUCUUCCCAGGGAGGGGAGGAAAACAAGAAUGGCGUUUGCUAAAAUGUUUUUGCUUUUCAGCAAAUUUCAGCAGCUUGCGGCAUUGUAGAAUCCAUGACAACUGCAAUAUGAAGCUGACAUUAACAAGCUUUUUAUGUUUACAAGCUAUAAUCGUUUGGGGAGAGAUGCUGAGGAGGCUGAUGCAGAAGAGAUCACUGAGAUGGCUGGUAAAGCCACUUUAUCUGAGCAACAGAAGCAAGUACAAGAGAACAUUCACUACCAACUCCAAAACUUGGAAAGUUGAAGAUUUGUCAUUCUCAUUAAUGUAUGGGAUGUUUUUGAAGCAUAUGAGUUUUGAUUAUGUCAAGCUUUGGGUUGUGUGUGUUGCCAUUGAUACAUAGCUUUUCUUUGGGAGCAUCAUUCAGUGGAAGUUACUGAUGAGAACCGUGAAGCUGCUCAAGAAGCUAAAGGCAAAGCCAUGGAGGCUCUCUCUGAAGGAAACUUCGAUGAAGCAAUUGAGCAUCCUACAUCAGCUAUCAUAUACGGGAACAGAGGUGAUCGUGCUUUUUAUUUAAUAAUUUGCGAACGAUGGAUGCUGCAAGAAGGAAAGAACGAUUAUGCCUUUCAAGUGAGCUGCCCCACCUAGACCAAGUAGCUGUUGCUGGAUAUAGUGUAUUGUCAUAGACUGUAUGCACGUGUGUGCCAGACUGAGAACAUUUGACUUUGAAAAUUUUUGAGUGGCUUACAAAACGCAAAAACGUGUGGUGAAUAUGUGAUGACCGUGAAUACAAGUAGGAUGCAAAAAUUAUGUGGUUAUAAUUAACGUUUGGUCCUUAAAUUUAUAAA